rnacentral:lncRNA from 1 species
AAUAAAUUGUGCUUUAUAUAUAUAUAUAUAUAUAUAUAUAUAUAUAAAGCAGGAGGAAGACAGAACAUGUGUUUAUAUCACAUAGAUUCCAAAUAUACAAAAUUUGGUGGGGUGGGAUUUUGGAAAUUUCACCAGAGUCCACUUCGUCUUAACAUUCAAGAAAAUGGAUAUUUUUUAAUGAAAUUCUCUACAAAUAUACCUCCGACUAUGUAGAUUCCGAGGACAUAGAAAUUUUGGAGAAAAACAAUUGGGGGGGGGGGGGCUAUCUUUGAGAACUGUUUCCUCACUCGCAGGUGUUUCUGAACAAGUUGUCCAUAUUUGUUUUCAUUUUCUCCACUAAAUCGAAGGAAAUAAUCUUACAACCUGGUGUUGUUGUCUCUAAAGUGUCAAAAAAUUAUUCUUUGACACUUUAGAGACAUCAAAUCUUAUGAAUAUGAUGGAAACUAUCUAUUAUCUCUAAAGUGUCAAAAAAUAAUUUUUGCCUCUUUAGAGACAUCAGCUCUUAUGAAUAUGAUGGAAACGAACUGUUGUCUCUAAAGUGUCAAAAGUUGAUAAAAUUGUCUACAGAAGGGGGAUGUAAAGAAUUUUUUUUUUUUAAUAACUCAUUCUCGAAUUGCCCCCUUUCUCUUAUAGGUAUAGUAAACAUUGUGUACAAAAGGUAUAGAUUCAACAUAACCCUACUAAAAUAUUACCAUGCC